rnacentral:tRNA from 1 species
CGGGGCGUGGCGCAGCCUGGUAGCGCACCUGCUUUGGGAGCAGGGGGUCCCCGGUUCAAAUCCGGGCGCCCCGA